rnacentral:rRNA from 1 species
UACGAAGGGGGCUAGCGUUGUUCGGAAUUACUGGGCGUAAAGGGCGCGUAGGCGGUGUGUCAAGUCAGGCGUGAAAGCCCCGGGCUCAACCUGGGAACCGCGCUUGAGACUGGAGUACUAGAGUUCGGGAGAGGAUGGUGGAAUUCCCAGUGUAGAGGUGAAAUUCGUAGAUAUCGGGAGGAACACCAAUGGCGAAGGCAGCUCGCUGGGACGGUACUGGACGCUGAGACGCGAAAGCGUGGGGAGCAAACAGGG